rnacentral:rRNA from 1 species
GAUUGAACGCUGGCGGCAUGCUUUACACAUGCAAGUCGGACGGCAGCGAGGAAGUGCUUGCACUUCUGUCGGCGAGUGGCGAACGGGUGAGUAACAUAUCGGAACGUACCGAGUAGUGGGGGAUAACUAAUCGAAAGAUUAGCUAAUACCGCAUACGUCUUGAGAGAGAAAGCAGGGGACCUUCGGGCCUUGCGCUAUUCGAGCGGCCGAUAUCUGAUUAGCUAGUUGGUGGGGUAAAGGCCUACCAAGGCGACGAUCAGUAGCGGGUCUGAGAGGAUGAUCCGCCACACUGGGACUGAGACACGGCCCAGACUCCUACGGGAGGCAGCAGUGGGGAAUUUUGGACAAUGGGCGCAAGCCUGAUCCAGCCAUGCCGCGUGUAUGAAGAAGGCCUUCGGGUUGUAAAGUACUUUUGUCAGGGAAGAAAAGGCCGGUGUUAAUACCAUUGGCUCAUGACGGUACCUGAAGAAUAAGCACCGGCUAACUACGU